rnacentral:rRNA from 1 species
CCUCCGGGCGGCAGCAGUGGGGAAUAUUGCACAAUGGGGGAAACCCUGAUGCAGCGACGCCGCGUGAGUGAAGAAGUAUUUCGGUAUGUAAAGCUCUAUCAGCAGGGAAGAAAAUGACGGUACCUGAUGAAUAAGCCCCGGCUAACUACGUGCCAGCAGCCGCGGGAAUACGUCGGGGGCAAGCGUUAUCCGGAGUUAAUGGGUGUUAUGGGAGCGUAGACGGCAGGACAAGUCUGGAGUGAAAUGCCGGGGCUUAACCCCGGAACUGCUUUGGAAACUGGGUAGCUCGAGUGCAGGAGAGGUAAGUGGAAUGCCUAGUGUAGCGGUGAAAUGCGUAGAUAUUAGGAGGAACACCAGUGGCGAAGGCGGCUUACUGGACUGUAACUGACGUUGAGGCUCGAAAGCGUGGGGAGCAAACAGGAUUAGAUACCCGAGUAGUC